UGGCUCUGCCCGCAGCGCCGUGCGGGGCUGUGCAGGGGCAGGUUACCCGCACGCACAGGCUGCGCAGCCCCGCACCGAGCUGAGCCAGGGCGGCCGCGGGUCCGGGCAGCCCCGCACGGCUCAACUGCAAUAAUACCGCCUUAUUCUGGGUGAAAACAAAUGAUCUGGGCGGUACAGGCUGUGAAUAGGAUUUAACAGCUGGAAGGAAUCCAACACAGCAUGAGAAAGAAUCACACAGAAUGAUAGGUGUUGGAAGUGACCUCUGGCAUUCAUCUACUCCAACCUCCCUGAUAAAGCAGAUUCACCUGCAGCCAGCUGCACAGGAACGUGUCCAGGCUGCCAGGGCACCUGUGUUCCUAUGAGCACAGAUGAACCAUUACAUCCUCUAGGACUUUGUGACCUUGCAACAGUGGGCUCUUCUGGUGUAGAUCUGGAGAUUUGGUACAGACCAUUCUGUAAAACCACUCCUAGCUGAUGCACGCUACAGACUUUAACAGGAUCCGUAUCAUUGCUGUUUUUGAGGAAAAAAGCAAGGUCUUGUCUACAGCACUUCAAAGCACCAGCCUAGCAAGUAAACAGAGAAUAAAGAGAUAAUCCCUGCCUCAGGGUUUGUGAUCUUCACAGGACUUUGCAGGCUGCAGCAAACAAGCUCUUCCACACUCUGCACCUUUGAGGUCCAAGCCAACUCUAGGCUGAGAGGGAACAGCAUCAUUAACCGAGAACAAGGUGUUAAUCUCCUUAUUAGACUCCGAGGUGUGAUAAAGAAGCCCUCAUUUCUUCAACUUCUGCAAUAUGUAAACAGUUGUUACUGGCAUAGAAAUGCAGUUUAUUGGAAGUGUGGCUGUAUUUACGCAUCGCCCAGUUUUGCUUCUGGUGCUGUGACAUAGGAGAGCUGCCCUCUGAGCACCAGUGGAAGGCUGUGGACUUGCCGGCUCGAUGUUAUAGAUGGUAUCGCAGUGAUGGUAAACCACCAACUCAGUGCUGGCUUGGAGGCAAAGAUACACAAAGUGAGUACGUGGGGUGGUUGUUAAGGACUCUACUUGUGAACCUCAUCAAAAGCACAUUAAUUUCAGAGAGAAAAUAGGCUUACAAUUAUUUCAGUGUACUUCAGAUUAGUCCCUGAGACAUUCUUGUUUAAAUUGUUAAUGAAAAUAUUAAGGAUCAUGGUGUAAGGCAAUACUAAAUGCAGGAACAGAAACUUACUUUAUAGCCACUAGCAAUACUACAUUACUACUUAAAUAUACAGGAACAAAUGUUUUAUCCCUUAUAUAGGUGCAUCCCCAUUGACAUUUGCUGUAAGAAUGACAGUAAGAAUCACAUAAGAAAGAUCUAUUUAACAGUUUGUUUCUAAAGUACAUUUAGUUGAGGGUCCCUUGACUUAGUACUUACCUCUCAAAGGUAUUUCCUAUGUUAAAAAGUCAGUGUGGCAGUCAGCCUGCCAUCCUUCUGUUCCAAAAAUAAGCAGCACAAAACAAGCUAGCAGCUAGGAACCAAAUUCUGAAAUAGCUCCAGCCUAGGAAAACAGCCGGCCUGGCUUAAGCUCUUGCAAAAAGUACAAGCUUCAGACUACCGAUAAAAGGAACACGUUUAUCUUCCAAGAGAGUAUCGAUAUGCAUCUCAGAUACGUCUAACUGAAUCAAUAUACCGUCAAAGUAAAUCCCAUAGUAGGAGUUGCUGAAACAGUGACAAUCCACCAGUUGAUAACAAUGUCCUAAAAGCUAUUCUAACAGUGACACUUGAAGGUGAAGUUCUGACAGCAAUUUUUAGAUCAGAUCAGAUAUUUGAGCAGGCAGCUGGCAGGUCUUUCUCUAGUGCAGGUGGAGUUAAUGCCUUCUAGUCACCAGGCCCUAUUUUGUCAGUCAUCUCGGAGUAGCACAAAACUUGGUGAUUGUUUCUGCUAGAUCACCUGCUUGCUUCGACUUGAGGAAUUCAGGUUUCGUUUUUCCACUUGCUUUAGAUGUUAUGGUAGGAAAGACUUCAGUCAUAAGUCUGCUAUUUCUUAGUACAUCUGGACAACGUAUUAUUGGAUUCAAAAGCUAAAUUAAUAAGAGGGGGAAAGGGGGGGGGCAGAGGUUCCAUUAAAGUGAAAUGCAGUUUUUUCUGUUUUUCUAAAAAAAGUAAAUAAAUUCAGUUUCUGUUAAAGCAAAAUAUUUUCUUAAGCCUGAAUGUUUCACUUUACAGUUAUUUUGUCCUCUAAAAUAUUUUAAAUGAGAACUUCAUUUUCAAAACAAAAAGUGAAUGUUUUUAUUUGGAAAUGUCAAAAUAAGCUCUAAAUUGACUUAUUUUUACCCUUAAAGCUAUUUUACAGAUUCACAGUUUUGGAAAAUAAUUAUCUUUUUUGUCUGAAAAUGUUGAUGUGAAUUUAUUAUUUGCAUAAAAUGCCUUUUUAAUGCCUUUUCCUCACAUUUCCAACAUAACUGCAGAUAUGUCUAGUAGUGGGGGACUGAUUCUUAUUUUCUGUCCACAUAAGACUUGCAAAAUGCACAUUUCUUAAUACAUUGCAAGGAGUCAUAAUGGAAAUUGCCCUGACACGUAUCAGACUAUUAUUUUCUCUUUGUUCUGUAAUUUAUACCAUAUACCUAAAUUCUAUGUCCUGUUUUAUCUCCUCGUUUUGUUUUCAUUGUAUUUGACACAGAUAUCAUUCAGACUUACCUAUUAAAAAAUAACUGAAUUUUUGAAGCUCAGUUUGUUUUCUAUUUUUCUCCUGGGUUUGUAACUGAUUAUAUUUUAAUGUAUGCUCUAAACCUAGACUGACAGAGUUUCAAAAUACUGCCUUACUAAAUAGCAUUCUUCUCCAUUUUGCUUUUCCUAACAUAACGACUACUUCAUUAUUAAAGAUGCUUCUGGUUAGAAUGCUUCUGGUCUGCUUUCAAACUGCAUUGGUUCAGCUUUAUAUUGUAAUUUAAACUCUAGUUUCUGUAUACUUGUCUCAUUGCUUAUAUAUAGCUGUAUUUUUUUUAAAGACUAGGGAAUCUGAAUAUUAAAAUUAAGAUACCUUAUUAGAACUUAAUUUCAAAGGAUUUAAGGUUAUCUCAUAACUCAAAAAUAUAUUCAUAAGUGUGUUCUGUAUAGAUAAAUAGGUGUAACUGUGAUAUAGACAGAGAUGUAUGGUGUUACUUAAAUUUUUUUCAAAGUUAUCAUAGUUGUGUGUGGACAGGAUUAAUUUCUCAUCAUUUUCAUAGCAUUCCUGAUUGUAAUUCAGAUCAAAGAUUGCACUUUUAUUAUAUAGAAACACUUCAGGUUUUGUGAAAAACUGCUUGGUUGGACCGAAUAGCAAGUUGUGCUGUGAACACCAGAAUUAAAGCAGCCAGGUACCAUCCCAAUGUGUGUUUCUUGGUUGACUGGCUUUGGCUUUAAAAAAGAUGCAACUUCAGAAUAAGGCUUUUCUUCUGACAAAUACAUUCAUCAAGUUUAAGCCUUGUAUGACUUAGAUGGGGUUCUCUAGUGGCUUUUAAGGGCUGAUCUCUUUCUGUAACCUUUUCCUUGAUUGAUCUUGCAAUGUCCAGCUGCCUAUUUUUACAAAGCUGGCAGGAACAUAAUUAUUGUUGAAAACUCUCAGCCUGUGUCAAAUCUGGUCGAACCAGCUGGCUGGUUUUCAAAAGUCUUUGCAGAGUAGGAGAUGCUCAAGAGGCACACAGAGACAAUACGACAGUAUGAGCUUUCUUACGUUGGAAAUCAGUAAAAUCAGCAAUAGCCACAAACUUUAUUCCUGAAAAUCCUGUAAAUUCUAUAAAGCUGUGUCAAAAAAAACUCCAGUUAUUAGGCUGGAAAAUGUCGUGACGGACUUCUCUGUUCCAACAGCUUUCAGUGGGAUGCUCUUAUUAAGCCUCUCCACCUCCUUGUCGUGCCAAAAUCUGCUUAUUAUACUUGAGAAAUCCAGCGUGGUCUUAAACCACUAUUUCACACAAUCAUACAGUGGGGGCAUUUCUUUCCUCUGCUGUUCUUUUUCUUUCAUGAAUUUGCCAAUGUGGCAAAUGGCUUUGAUGCUUUGGACACUGCAGGAACAGGGCUUGUAAUGUGAGGAAAGUCUGAAGUGUCUUCCGUUCAGCCCUCCUGGCAAUAAAGUCUUCUUCCUUUUAAUGUAACUUUGAAACUCAUUGCCAAUAUUUUACCUUGAGGCUUAGCAGAUUCUGGAAACUCAAGAGAUAUUUCUAAUUUUAGGUCCAACAUGUCUUGUAAUGUAAGGAAACCUCCUUAGUUUGCAGAGACCAUUAGUAAUGUAUGCUGGCAGACUAGCUGCACUCAGUGAAGGUUUCAGUGAUGUUCCACCAACUUUCAUUUAACAUUUGUGGUUCUGUGGCCAGAAUAUGUGGUCAGGGUAUUAAUUCACAGCAUCUCUGGGGAGCGGCAUCCUGGGUGGGCUGUAAAAGGGAGUGAUGGAAUUAAUCGUUACUUAAAUUCACCUUUCAGCAGACAGCCCUGUCCCUGAAGGAUCUAUCUCUUAGGGAACAGCAACAAAGAAAAUACUGAUUUAUGAAAGCUAACCCAGCAGGAUAGACACUGAUGUGUUAUUUGCUAGAAUGGCCCUUCCCUGGAGUAUUUGCAUGACAGACAUGUUUGGGGAUGAGAGAGCAACCCUCCUUUGCUAGAGCUGCUUCUUUUUCUAAAAUUCCACUUCAUAUCCAACAUUUGAAGUUUGCUGUGGCUUAAGUAUUAAUGCAAUGGGAGAAAACCAGACAAGCAUAGGAAUUGAGUCUUGACUAUUGACACCUCAUUAGCAGCACUACUCAGUAUGAUAGUUUCCUAACUAAAUUUGCUUGCAACGGUAUUGGUUUUGUACUUAAUUGCAUGAAAAAUCUCAUUAAGGUUUGUACUAAUAGUAUUUUUUUUUUCUCGAUCAAUGUUCUAGUUAUAGGAUACAUAGUUCAUAUAAGGCCAGUAAAAUACAUCAUCCUCCAGUAAGCACAGAUCUAUUCAAAGGGUUUUUUCUUUAUACCUUGGUCCAGCUGACCACGGAGUGGGAGAAUGGGUGAGGCUCGGAGGUGGUGAUAGCAAGAGAGACCAAAAGUAAAGCUGCAGGAUUACAGCAUUACUGUCAGCCAUUUCAACUUGAGCUUCUGUAUUUUUACCAGCUGCUUCUUGAAUAUACUGUGGAGCAGUCUGAGGAAAGAAAUAAAACCUGGAGCAGGCACUAUCUCACGCAGAACACUGUGGCUCCAGUUUUAGAAAUGAAAAUAAAUAUUAAGCACAUGUAUAUAUAUCUCAUCAUAUGCCAUGGCAGAGAGAGUCACAAUGAUGUCUCAGGAUUUCUCUGUGGUGUUGCUGGCAUGCAGUAGAGUAAUCGCCACAUUAUCCAGCAGAAUUUGAAUGGAACUGAGUCAAUUCAAUUGGCUCCUGUCUUUAGGGCAUUUCUUUACCCACAGCCCUUGUAGCCUUUAAGGUCCUGCUGUGCAAAUGUAAUGUUCUACACAAAAAUGCAAGCUGUUGGGGGAAUCGGAUUCCAAAAUCUUCCCUGGUUUACCAUUACAUACUGUAACGCCCACACUAGUGGUAGUCCAGUUUCUGUUUGUCACUUUCUUCCACAAUGUCUUAAUAUCCUUAUUUCAGAAGCUACUGUAUGGCAGCCUGGCUGGUCCAGCCAUUAAGCCCUAGAAAUGUCCUUCAUGGAUUUGACCAUAUUUAGGCCCUGAGCUUUUUUCUUGCAAAUUUUUGUCCAUAUCUGCCCACAGACAUUGCUGCAUUGCCUUUACCAAAUGACUUGUGUCCUCAUCCACUCUGAAACAUUCUUUUCUCCUUCAUAGAUCAAAUGCUAUUGACUAUUAGGUACCAUUUUGGCCUUUAGUUCUGUUUUAUUUUUGUGAAGAAGUGCUACAAUGUAAUGAGUUUAAAAUGCUACUUCGUUAUUUUAGGUUUGUAUUUAACAUAAGUGCAGUCUUCUAAAAUUACAGAUUGCUUUCUUAAUUCUAGUGGUAGAUGUGACAAAAUGGCCCACCAAACUUAUAUAAGGUGCUCUAUUUGAAAAUCAAAAUUGCUGUUUGAGUUAUACUGAGUAAGAUUGAAAUACUUCCAGAACAUUUUAAUUACUCCUAAAUGAUAGAAAAAUAUUUUCUUAAAAUACAACUUUAAAAAUCUACAGAAAUAGUUGUAGAAUUCUGGAUGGUUAAUUAUUCCUUCUAUUCCUGGCUUUUUGCAAAAGUAUAAAAAAAUCCCACCGACUUGUUCUACUUAAAACUGCUGAUGUAACUCACAUUAAACAAAUUAAAUACAAAUUUGGUUAGACUGCAUUUCAAAUCAUAUCAUAAAACUAAAAUGUGGAUAAAGCAAAUAAGCUUUCAAGAGUAAAAGUUCUUAGAAUUAAGUUUUCCAAUGAAUGCUGGAGCCAUGACUAUUUCUCACACAGGAUCCUUCACCUCAACUGAUCAUCAGCUCUAACAGAGCUGAAUUGUUAUACCAGCCACUAAGCGCUCCCUCCAUGGGAGGCACUCAGUCCUUCUCAGCUGUGUUUUGCCCACUGAGUUGUAGGGAUCAGUAAAGCAGCAAUGGAGCAAGAGAAAGCUUUAUCAUCUUGCGCCCAGCCAAAGCACUGCUUGCUCAAGUUUUUUAAUUUCUAGAAGGCCUAAGACUAAAAUUUUCAUGAGUUGAUUAAAGUGCAUUAAUGGAGCAAUGAUACGAGUUUCAAAAUUGUUUGAUAUAGAACAUGUACUUAACGGUUUCUUAUGCUUAUCUUGAAUGAACAGCAGCAUUUGAAUUCACCAGUAUCAAUAACUAUUAACCCAGACUGCUAAAUACAUUUUAGCUACAUUAAUCAUUCAACUGAAGUCUAACAGGAUGGCUGUGCCUACAAGCUAAAAGAAUGUAAACCAUUUAAGAAAUGACAGUUUAUCUAAGCUCAUCCUUUUACAUUUUUAUUGGUUCUUUCCUACAGGAUAAGUUCAUACCACUAACAGAAUAACGCUCCCAUCCAGACCUCUUGAGAGUCUUUUCGCUUGCUCAGCUCUGGUUUAGACACUCUUUUGAUAUACUCAUAGGGAAUGCCUGUUGUUUCUCUGUCAACAUUGCCCCCAAACCAUAAAUGAAGGCAUGUGUGAAAGGAAUUUUGAAAACAGUUAAGCCCAGAGAAGAAUAGUUACAGAAACAUUGUAGUAUUCAGAAGAUGCUUAAUCACUCUCUAAUGAUCACUGAAAUUGAUUCCUUUUGUGUAUAUAUGCCUCUGUCAUCAGAGAAUAUUGAAAUAAAUUGCACUUCAGUGGCAGUUUGAGCAAUUGGGUUUGCAGAAGUGCCCUCAAUUCUAUUUUUUUCUUGGAAACACUUUCCUCUUUGUCUUCAUUAGAUUCACAAAUCAUGUACUGCAAUACUGAUUCCCUUUUUCUCCAAGAAGACUUUGAGCUGCCAAAGUUCCCCUUAAAUCCCCAAUUUCAGUACAGGAUGGGGGAUGAUGUGAUUGGGAGCGGCUCUGCAGAGAAGGACUUAGGGUGCUCAUGGAUGAGAAGCUCGACAUGAUCCGUCAAUGUGCGCUCGCAGCCCAGAAGGCCAACCGUGUCCUGGGCUGCAUCAAACGAAGCGUGGCCAGCAGGGUGAGGGGGGGGAUCUGCCCCUCUGCUCCUCUCUGGUGAGACUUCAUCUGGAGUAUCGUGUCCAGUUCUGGAAUCCUCGAUGUAAGAAGGAUAUGGACCUGUUGGAAAGGGUCCAGAGGAGGGCUACAGGGAUGAUCAGAGGAACAGAGCACCUCCUAUCCAAGGACAGGCUGAGAGAGUUGGGGUUGUUCAGCCUGAAGAAAAGGCUCCGAGGACACUUUAGAGUGAAACUUCCAGUACCUGAAAGGGACUACAAGAAAGCUGCGGAGGGACUGUUUACAAAGGCUUAUAGUGAUAAGGACUAGAGAUAACCUGGAGAGGGGCAGAUUUAGACUAGACAUAAGGAAGAAUUUCUUCACCAUGAGGGUGGUGAGGCACUGACACAGGUUGCCCAGGAAAGCUGUGGCUGCCCCAUCCCUGGAGGUGUUCAAGGUUGGGCUGGAUGGGGCCUUGGGCAGCCUGGGCUGGUGGGAGGUGUCCCUGCCCACAGCAGGGGGGUUGAAACUGCAUGAUCUUUAAGAUCGUUUCCAACCCAAACUAUUCUAUGAUUCUGUGAUUCUAAAACCCCAAUUUUUGUAAUAAGCUUAGAUAACGAAAGGUAGGUGCUACUUGCUCAGUGCAAACCAUUUGCUUACUCACCAUUGUUUCACCAUGUUUCAAGGAAAACACCAGACUGGAUGUGUAAGAUACUCUUCCCAGGUUUUAUUGCAGCUAUUUACUGUGAUGAAAUCAUAAACUACGUCACCUUCCUAGACUUCUUGCUCAAAUUCCAAAGGUCUUUAUCUUGAAUUCUCUGAUCUUUUAAAUCAUUGUUUCAGUAAACAUUUCUAUUAUUUCUUUCACACCAAUUCACCUAGACUAGAACACAAUGCAGACUCUUCCCUCACUAGAAACUGAUCGGCCCUGAUAAAUGUUGUCCUUCCUAAGCAGCACAGCUAGCCAAAAUAACCUAUAUGUUUUCCUAGUUGGGAUGGGAAAUUGUAAGGAAACAAGAGUCUUUUUAAUGCAAUUAAGCCUGUUUUCAGGAUCUGUAAUUACAAUUCCUGCUUUCUCAAGCAUGGGAGGAUUCAGAACACAAGAGUAUCUUCCUGCUUCAGCCUCUUUUAGCCAGAAUCAAGUACAAAGGCCUCUGACUUCCCUGGGCAGCUUCAGAGCUGCUUUGGGCUUUGUUGUUAUGUUGUUCCUGAGCUCUGCCUUUGUUUUCUUUUAACGUCUCCUACGUACUUCCAGGCUCCCCAAGCAGGUGCAGAACGUUCUCUGCCCACAGUGUUCAAACUGCUGAGCAACGCUGGAAUUACCUUUGCUUUGUGAAAGAAACGUUUGUUUAGUUUCUCUUGCAGCCCUAUUUAUUGAGAGAUGGUGGUCACGUCCUGCAGUUUCAACCUAACCUACAAACACUAUGCAAAGGACUAUCUCAGAAGGGUGUGAGAGAAAGAUCAUCACUACUUGUUGUAGACAAAACCUAUGUGUUCUCAAAAUAAGAAGCAUUUGGUUCUUGUACAGUGAAACUAUCUGUAUUAAAAUGUUAUUCAAAACAGUGUUUCCAAGUGUGUCUAGGCCUGCUAGUGACAGGUCUUGGUGAACUGCCAUUGUCCCUGUGAUGCCUGAGAGCACAAAAGAAAGUCAACAAUUUUGUCCCUGUUUUGUAGUAGAAAAACAAAAUAUUGGAAAAAUGUAUCAAUAAGGUGAUUUUCUCUUUACUGCAAAAUCAUGAUUAAGGCAGAGUUGAAACUGUAUCAUAGAAUUUGACUCAACGUGUGAAAUAUUCCCGGCACGGAGAUUCCCAGUUAAGCCAAAGUCAAUUGGGAUGUCUGGGACAAUAUGUAAAUUUCACCAUUGGUAUAAGUAAUAAACCAUCAAAAUAAUUAUUUUCAAAGAAUUGGGUAUUUAGACUUCUAAAUAGUUGUUACACACUUUGGUCACAACAGUUGUCAAAUAAUUGGUGACUACCAGUGCUUUUUAGUGCUCUCCUAAUUAUUUUGUGUGAUUUUUAUAUACGCUCUGUGGAAGCAGAUACGCUAAGAACUAGACAGGCAUCCAAACUCUGUGUUUAACUGAUGAACAGGUUGAAGCCUGUGGUGAUGAAGGAGACGCAGACCUCAUAGUUUUCUCUAAGCAUAUUCUUUUAAUCAGCACGGCAUACAGGAGUCAAAUUAAGGCAGUCCUACUGGCUUCUCUCAUUCAGGCAGAUCUUUAUUCGGUUUUCUGAAAUUCAGACAAACAGGAUGUUUUUGGUUUUGUCUAUUCCACACUCUCAUGACUGUUUUCAGUCACAUCUCCAAUCCACUUAUUCCCAGACAUUUUUUUCCAGUGUGGCCUUCUCAGACAUUCAAGAUUCGUCAUCCUGUGUGUCUAGCUCGGAACACCUGAUCUUUUAAAAGUGUUUAUUCUAAUAUGCUUAAUACCAGCUUCAUGCUUUAUCUUGGUCCCAAUUAAUCUUCCAUAUACUUGGCAUUGCUCCCACAAAGCCCAUGCUUUUAUUGGACUAACCAGCGGCAGAACUGGCCAUAUACAAUAUAUGCUGGCGGAUAAAUGCUGCUUGCAGAACUGCAGUUAUUGGUGCCAAUGGGCAUCGUUUCCUCCGCCUUGGGGAGCCGCAGGGAUUCCCAGAGCAGGUGGCAUGUGGGGAGCACGGCCAGCCGGCCAGAUUGUCCCGCAUGGAGAUGCCUGUGGAAGUGUCCAUGACUGGGCUCACAGAGCCUGCCAGGCCGGGGGAACGGGCAGCAGGUGAGCGCAGGAGCCUUUGCUGAGCUUUGGCACUUACCUCUUGGGCAGGGGUUAUGCACAACGUGAGUUUUAAAAGGAAGAAGGGGAAAAAAAUGAAUGUUUUGCGUUGCUGUGAGCUCCCGCUCUUAGAGCCUCGGUGGAGGUGGCCGCAACUUUCCUUGUACCCGGGAACGACGCAGCCGGGGCCGCCCGCGCUUUGAAAAUAGCGCGCAGCUCCCUCCGCGGGCAGCCCGGCGCUCGCGUCCCCCCCCCCCCCGAGCCCAGCGCCGUCCCGAGCCUCGGCCGCGGAGCGACCCGCACCCGCGGGAGCCGCGCUGCCCGCCCCGGGGGCACCGGGAGGGCGGCAUCGCCGGGACCGACAGCGCCGCGGGGGGGGCCGGUCAAAGCGUCCGUACAGCGUGUGCUGCAUCGGUGAGAGUAUAUGGACUGUGUACCUAUGAGUACUGUAUGUGUCAUAGUAUAGA